rnacentral:rRNA from 1 species
UCCGCACGAGCGCACCCCUNUCCUUAGUUGCCAGCNAUUCGGUCGGGAACUCUAAGGANACUGCCGGUGAUAAACCGGANGAAGGNGGGGACGACNUCNAGUCNUCAUGGCCCUUACGGGAUGGGCUACNCACGUGCUACAAUGGUAUGUACANAGGGUUGCGAACCUGCGAAGGUAAGCGGAUCCCUUAAAGCGUAUCGUAGUCCGGAUUGGAGUCUGCAACUCGACUCCNUGAAGUCGGAAUCGCUAGUAAUCGCAAAUCANAAUGUUGCGGUGAAUACGUUCCCGGGCCUUGNACACACCGCCCGU